rnacentral:rRNA from 1 species
GAUGAACGCUGGCGGCGUGCCUAAUACAUGCAAGUCGAGCGGACAGACGAGGAUCUUUCUCCUCUUACGUUAGCGGCGGACGGGUGAGUAACACGUAGAUAACCUACCGAUAAGACUGGGAUAACUUCGGGAAACCGGAUCUAAUACCGGAUAAUAGAGUGAACCGCAUGGUUCAAUAGUGAAAGACGGUUUUGCUGUCACUUAUAGAUGGAUCCGCGCCGCAUUAGCUAGUUGGUAAGGUAACGGCUUACCAAGGCAACGAUGCGUAGCCGACCUGAGAGGAUGAUCGGCCACACUGGAACUGAGACACGGUCCAGACUCCUACGGGAGGCAGCAGUAGGGAAUAUUCGGCAAUGGGCGAAAGCCUGACGGAGCAACGCCGCGUGAGUGAUGAAGGUCUUCGGAUCGUAAAACUCUGUUAUUAGGGAAGAACAAAUGUGUAAGUAAAUCUGCACGUCUUGACGGUACCUAAUCAGAAAGCAACGGCUAACUACGUG